UGGGAUAGCUCAGUUGGUAAGAGAAUGAGGCUUUUAAUCUCAGGGUCAUGGGUUCGAGCCCCACAUUGGGCAAAA